GGUCCAUUGGUGAAGUGGUAUCACGCUGCCUUGUCACGGCAAUAUUACGGGUCCGAUUCCCGUAUGGACCG
rnacentral:tRNA from 1 species